rnacentral:lncRNA from 1 species
ACAGGCUACGACUGUGCGGAAAUGAUACGAAUGCAAAGUAGAAAUGAUUUUAUUAUCUUAUAGAAGCUCUAGACUAAAUGCCUCUGCUAGCUGAAGGCAAACAGAAUUGGUUGGGUCUUAUUUUUGUUGUUUUUUUCAUUUAAAAAAAGCACAUGUAAGUGAAGUUUCAAAUUUGUAAGUUUAUUCACUAAAAUGAGUAAUCUCUUGAGACAACGGAUCUUUCACCCAAAAUAGCGGAACUUGCUGAAUCCUUAUAUCAUAACGCCUUUUGAGCUCAGUGUGCAAGGAACCAUGUUAUUUUUUUUUAAUAGUCAAUUUUAGACCUCUAGUAACUUCUGAACUUCUCUUACCAGAGACUUCUUCCAGUGUUUUAUAUCUUUUACCUAAAAAGUUUAGCAGGGAAACUCUGAACAUUUGUUUUAUACUGUAGUGUCUUAAUUUCUGUCAAAACUCUCUUCAUCUUAAUUUUCAUUUCUGAUUUAAAUGGAAAUCACUUGUACCAUAUUGUUCUAGUACAAAAUUAUUAAGGAAGUGUCAAGCAUACCGAAUGACAUAAUUAAUAAUAUAUAAUAUAUAAUUGAUGGUCAGGCUUUUGCCGAAAGGAAGCAUGGUGAUUGGUGAGUAACAAAGUGUUGUCUGUAGUCUAUUUAUGUCAUUACUGAGUUGGCAUUUUUAAUAGGUGGCAUUUGUCCAUUAGAUGUGAUGUGGAUAGAAGUUUAGUUUUUUGUUUUGACCAUCUCCCAAAUCUUUGAUUGCUCUUUUCUGGCUACAUUUGGUGAUUAUGUUGCAUGUUUAUGAAGCGUAAUAGUUGCAAAACACGAUCAUGGUUGAAGUAAAUGAUUUUUAACGUUUUGAAUGUGGUUGCUUUUGCUUCUAAUUGCCUUUAAAUACUUCUAAAUAGAAUAGGAUCUGGACAUAAUUAGAUACAUGUACGAGCUUUUGGAAUAUGGAAACUAAAUAUCUUUCUUACAAAGAAAACUUAUAUAUAAGAGGAAUGGGAGAGAAUGGAAGGAUGUGUUCGUGUUUUACAGGUGGUUGAUUUCACAUCAACAUAAUAUACUGAGUUUCAUUAUAACUAAAUAUUGAAGACAUGAUUUAAGUUUUCUUUUUCCUGUAAACACCGAAUACUUGCUUUUCAAAUAAUUAAUGAAUAAUAUGAAAAGAGUCUGUUUGUCUUUUUAGUGUGUCUGAUUAAGUGUUAAAACCUAAUGCAAAGUUCUGUUGUAAUAAUUUCCUAGCAGAAUGGGAUGUUGACAUGUUUAGAAUUUUAGAUGCCAUUAUGAAGUUAUAUACAUUAAGGAAUUUCUUAGUCUGAAACUAUAUGAAGCAGAGAGUCUUAUAUUACAAAGUAGUAG